rnacentral:piRNA from 1 species
UCAAGGAAAAUUAAUGCAGCAUUCUGU